rnacentral:rRNA from 1 species
UACGAAGGGUGCUAGCGUUGUUCGGAAUCACUGGGCGUAAAGCGCGCGUAGGCGGCUUAUCAAGUCAGGGGUGAAAUCCUUGGGCUCAACCCAAGAAUUGCCUUUGAAACUGAUAAGCUAGAGUACUGGAGGGGAUAGCGGAAUUGCUAAUGUAGCGGUGAAAUGCGUAGAUAUUAGCAGGAACACCAGUGGCGAAGGCGGCUACCUGGACCAGCACUGACACUGAGUCACGAAAGCGUGGGGAGCAAACAGG